rnacentral:rRNA from 1 species
GCUACCGCCGUGGCAGCGGCCGCGGUGCUAGUGAGGGUCGUUGCGUUAAUCGUAAUUGCUGGGCGUAAAGCGUGCGCAGGCGGUUUGGUAAGCGAGAUGUGAAAGCCCUGGGCUCAACCUAGGAAUAGCAUUUCGAACUGACGAACUAGAGUCUUGUAGAGGGGGGUAGAAUUCCAGGUGUAGCGGUGAAAUGCGUAGAGAUCUGGAGGAAUACCGGUGGCGAAGGCGGCCCCCUGGACAAAGACUGACGCUCAUGCACGAAAGCGUGGGGAGCAAACAGGAUUAGAUACCCCAGUAGUC